UUUUUUUUAAGGAAUAUAACAUUAAUUUUCUGGAUGACUGGAAUUUCUUCCAAGAAUAUUGAGAUUGUCAACAAAAAUUAUGACACAUCUUUGGAGCUGCCUCAAACAAAUUAGCUUCAUAAGUUAACUACUUGUUUAUUAAUUUAUAUAUAUUUUGCCUAAUGAAUUCAUAAAAAUGGUUUGAUUGCAAAAUUUUCUUGCUAAUGGUAGCAUCCUCACUUCCCUCUGCAUAUGAAUUUCUCUAUAAUGAAAUGGAGUGGUAUUCACUCUCAAGCUUUAUGCCCAUCUUUUAGAGCAUAGUUUUAUGUAUCUCCACCACAUUCAGUUGUUCAGGAUCAAACUUAAUUUAUCCAUCUUUUGAUAUUUCUAAAGGACACUUACCUCAUUUGCAGUCUAAUGGACGAUCCCAGUUUUGAUCAAUUCCCUAGAACUUCUAAUGAAAUGUGAUCGUUUGUGAUCAAUUAGUUGUCUGGAGUGUAAUAACAUGUGACAUGCAUAUUAUGUUGACGUGUUAGAAUAUAUCUGUGUGUGGUAAAGCAAGCACGGUUGUUUACAUGCUAGUUUGCUUGUUGCUACACGGAUUAUCUUGGAAAUAUCUAUGAUCUAUGAAUUUAUGUUCUCUAAUCUUCCAAAACUUUCUAUGCAGAUUGCCUUUAUAUCUUGGGAUGAUAGGUGCUGGGUUGAAUGUGGUCAUAUUCUUAUAUACAAGCAUGUUUGCAUGGAGUGUCAGGAGGUUUGAUGAAAAAUGGGAGCUAUCAAGUAUAUCUGCUUUGCCAUUUGUUACCCUAUUGGGACUCGUCUCUUUUUGCUUGUUUGCCUUCGCUUUAUGGCCAAUAUGGAGUUUCUUGACCCUUCCACUUCUGUUCACACUGUUUAUGGCUUGCAUGGUCAUCUUUCCCCAUAUCAUGAUUGUGACAUUCAGGCAGCAAAAUGAUGCAUUCCGUAUAGAUUAAACAAUCCAAGCAGUGGGCUACUAACAUAGAUGAAGAUUUUCUAACUGGAAUUUAUUGCUGAUGCCCAAUGGCAUUGGGCAUGUAUCAUGCAAUUCGUCUCCUUCCUAGUUCUGCCACCCUGAUGCUAACAACAAGAGCUGAUUGCUGUUCAAUCCGUCAGUACUCAUACCUCAGGCAUUUCUCAACUUGAUGAACCUUUUAUGCCUGAUGGUUUGUAUCACUAUGAUAACAAGAAUUAACAAUCUUUUAUCAAUCAGAUUCUGGUGAGAUGUCAAUAGUCAUGUAGAGACAUUGAGCCUUUCUGACAGUCUCCCAGUGUUAGUCUGGUCUGGGAACAUGUUCAUCUUUGGUUUAAGAAGGUGGUGUGGUGUGAUUUUAUAGUAGCGAGAUUGAAUGUUAAUAGCUUUUAACCAUUUGGAAUCAUCUGUAGCUUCCAGUUUCAUUCUCUUGUUAUAAGGUUAGGAUUAAAUGCUUUUUAAUAUGUUUUCAUACUCUUCUAAACUCAUUUCUCCAAAUUAAACAUGCUUAAAUUUUCAUAAAA
rnacentral:misc_RNA from 1 species